rnacentral:tmRNA from 1 species
UGAAAUCGCGCGCCUCAAGCCGCAUAUUCCAAUUGUCCUUCGGGACUAUGGACAUAAACGCGCUCGUAAUAAGCGGAUCGGACCCGGGGGCGGUACCCGGCGGCUCCACCAAAUAACCCUCGUUGGGGGACCAUGGGGCCGAAACAGGAUCGACGAACGUCUAAAGGGGUUAGCUUUGUCUCGGCGGGGUGCCACCGUAUCGGCCCGAAAAAGUACAAUUGCCAACGACAAUCGUGCUCCGGUUGCAGUUGCCGCCUAAGCGGUAACAAGACCGAAAUCUAAGCCCAGUCCUCUAGCAAGGGCUGGCGGGGUUCGCAGGCACCUGGCAACAGAAGCCUG